rnacentral:rRNA from 1 species
GAUGAACGCUGGCGGCGUGCCUAAUACAUGCAAGUCGAGCGAACAGACGAGGAGCUUGCUCCUCUGACGUUAGCGGCGGACGGGUGAGUAACACGUGGAUAACCUACCUAUAAGACUGGGAUAACUUCGGGAAACCGGAGCUAAUACCGGAUAAUAUAUUGAACCGCAUGGUUCAAUAGUGAAAGACGGUUUUGCUGUCACUUAUAGAUGGAUCCGCGCCGCAUUAGCUAGUUGGUAAGGUAACGGCUUACCAAGGCAACGAUGCGUAGCCGACCUGAGAGGGUGAUCGGCCACACUGGAACUGAGACACGGUCCAGGCUCCUACGGGAGGCAGCAGUAGGGAAUCUGCCGCAAUGGGCGAAAGCCUGACGGAGCAACGCCGCGUGAGUGAUGAAGGUCUUCGGAUCGUAAAACUCUGUUAUUAGGGAAGAACAAAUGUGUAAGUAACUAUGCACGUCUUGACGGUACCUAAUCAGAAAGCCACGGCUAACUACGUG